UACGUAGGGUGCAAGCGUUGUCCGGAUUUAUUGGGCGUAAAGCGUCCGCAGGUGGCACUUCAAGUCUGCUGUCAAAGACCGGGGCUUAACCCUGGAAAGGCAGUGGAAACUGAAGCGCUAGAGUGUGGCAGGGGUAGAGGGAAUUCCCGGUGUAGCGGUGAAAUGCGUAGAGAUCGGGAAGAACAUCGGUGGCGAAAGCGCUCUACUGGGCCAUAACUGACACUCAGGGACGAAAGCUAGGGGAGCGAAUGGG
rnacentral:rRNA from 1 species